AUUUUCAUUCAGUUAAUUGGUGUCGGCACCAUUAUGGGUUAUGGGAAGGCGGCAGCAACCUCGCACAACCAGAGGCAAAGAUGGCGUCCAACCUAAGUUCUGACUGGAGAAUUGAUGGGAAUUCUGUGUUUGUUGUACACAAGCUUGAGAUGAAUUAAUUCAAUGAUUUGUAUUGGCAACUUCAUGAGUUUGGUAAGAAAAGGUGCCUGCCAAUUCAAUCAUUUCAACUAGAAGCAAAGAUGACAUUGAACCAAAGUUCUGUGGAAAAGUGAUGGGUGUUGCAUAUAAAGAAGCUCAAGAUGGAUUCAAUCAUCAAUGGUAGAAGAAUGACAGCAGUUGGAGCAUGAUGAAGAACAGAUGGACGUUGGCUGAUUUGGACAGUUGAAUAAUUCAAGUAUCCAUUUUUGAAUUUUGUUAGUUUUUUUGGGGGGGGGGGGAGAGUAGAGUGAUGAAAUAUCUGCAGUGAUGUCCAUCAUUAAUAAUCAAUUAUAUCAAAGGGGUAUCCAUGCAAUUUAUUUAAAUUUUUGUUUCUUGAAAACAAAUGAAUGCAACACUUUUCUAGAAAUUCAUUACAUUUUGUGCAAAUGGUAUUAAUAGCUAUAGCCCCCACCCCCUUCCCCUGUUUGUUGAAGCCUUGUUUCUCUCCAUAUCUAAACACCCCUUAUUAUAAAGAUCAUUAAUGUUUGUUUGUUCAAAUGAUUGCAGAAGUUUAAGUCUAAGUUUCCAUGGGGGCCCUUGAGUUUUAUUGUUUGGAAGUGCAAAAUGCAAACCCCUCCUGGGAAAUUUUGGGAGUCACCGUUCCCCGUCCUUAGUGGUAAUAAGUUAAUAAGUUUAUCAGUUUAUUAGUUUAUUAUUGUAGUAUUUCAAUUCUGUGAUUUUCCAAGUUUCAGUCCGAUCGUUUUCCAGCGGAUUGUUUAGGAAUUCAGAUGUAUUUGGUUGUUGUAUGUGAUUGCUAUAUUUUUUAUGCUCAUUGGAAUGAAACAUUUUUUGUCUCCAGAAAUCUGCCUUGUAGGUUGUUUUUUAUUUAAACUUGUUUAUUUUAAAUAGAGUUGCUAGUAAAAGGGUUUCUAUACAUUGACUCGCGAUAAAUUGUUCCAAUGUUGCAUGGCGCUGUGGUCGAGUGGACUGCGCGGUGACCUCUAGAGGUGAAAGGUCACGGGUUCGAAUAACUUUCAAUUUUACUCGAAAAAUUUUUUUUUUCUUUCUUCAACUAUUUAAUUUUCAGAUAAUUUUUAAACAUUUUAAAGUCUAUUGGAGCCAAAAAGACUUAUUAAUGUUAACAACUCUUUUAUCCCGAAGCGCUUCAACCCACUUUGUUACUUGUGUAGCAAAGUACUAUACCCGAUUUGUUUUCCCCGAUAUGUUAAGUUUAAAAGAUGUGAAAAUUCGAAAAAUCCUCAAAAAUACUAGUUUUAUACAAGAAACAGUCAAAAAAACAUUUAUUUGCUUCUUUUUAAACCAGAUAACAUAUUUACGAAGUUUGUCUAUAUCGCAUUACAGCAAUGAUUGCCUUACAGCUAUCUCUGGAAAAGUAAAAUAUACUAGCACUUGUUACCCUCGUUGACCAAGCGACCCUGUGGUCCAGUGGUAUUAGUGGGUGACUGCUAAUGUCAAAGGUCAUGAGGUCGCGGGUUCGAAUCCCGGCUCAAGCGCUGUUUUUCCUCCAAAAAUUCAAGCGGCAUUCACGUGGACAGAUGGACAAUGGAACAAUGGAAGGACAAUGGAACAAUGGAAAACAAUAGGAAUUUCCAAAACAAUGGUGCAUUCAAAAUGGGAACAAAGAGCUGGGAUUCGAACAGGCGCAUGCGCUUCUCGGUGGGCGGUAGUCCCCGGCUCCGGACGUCCGGAGCCGGGGAAGACCGCUUACCGGGGGUUACCUACGGAGUCAGCAGGCUGGCCUCCGACUGAAAAGUCAGGGGGACAUGCUCGUCUCCGAGAUGAAAAGUAGGGGGACAGUCUGCACUCCAAGAGAAAAAACAGGGGGAAGGUUCAAAUUUUUUUUUUCAAAAAAAAAUUUACAAGUGUAAAGGGUCCCCCACUCCGCCCCGCCAUGCUGGGCCUCUCCCACGGAGUGCCCCAACGUCCCACCUGCACUGCAAGAUCCUGGUGAGCCCCAACCAGUCAUUCUUCGCUCCAUCUAUCUUACCAUCACUGCAGGUUGCCCUUUAUCCCUAAGGUAAGAGGAUUUAUUUUCUCCUGCACCAUCUCUUCGACUGCCCGUCAUUUUAACAAGUAUAUUGUACAACAAAGAACCAGUAUCAAAACUCAUCUCCUAAGGCCUAACUUAGCCUAUUUCUGAGGGGUAAAUCAUAUUGCACCAUUUCUCCCCGUUGCUGCAAGACACCAUUGGCUUACUGGGGGCACUGCCCUGCAAACCUAAAACAGACAAUCUAACCGGCCGAAAGAUCACACUGCUUUUAGGGGGAAAAAUUGAGAAUUUUUGUAAACAGUGCUAAAAUGCGCACUCCUUGCAGGUUGAUCGGUGUGAGAUGUGAGAGGUGUUGCAGACCCGUUGACCAAGACUACCAAAGCCUACCUACCAGCAACUUUGAUAACUUGACUAGUAAGGCCACUGUUCACAACGUCUACGCGCCACCCAGCAUUUCUCGUCAUUGCCCGGUACGUGCCAAGCACACAGAAAAAUCGUCCCGUUGCAGUGUUAUGGACGAGGGGAAAUUUGGCAGCGAAUGGUCGAAAAGAGCCUAAGCGUCGGCAGUUCAUCACGCAAUAUACUAACCAUAGAAAAAUAAAAUAGUUACUUAAAACACUGAGAGAAA